CUGCUAUCGGAUUGAUACUAAGCCAUGCGAGUCUUUGUAGUAAUACAAGGCAGACGGCUCAGUAACACGUAGUCAACCUACCCUAUGGACGAGAAUAAUCUCGGGAAACUGAGCAUAAUUCUUGAUAGAUCAUAAUGCCUGGAAUGGUUUAUGGUUAAAAUGAUUCGUCGCCAUAGGAUGGGACUGCGGCCUAUCAGCUUGUUGGUGAGGUAAUGGCCAACCAAGGCGAUUACAGGUACGGGCUCUGAGAGGAGAAGCCCGGAGAUGGGUACUGAGACACGGACCCAGGCCCUAUGGGGCGCAGCAGGCGAGAAAACUUUGCAAUGUGCGAAAGCACGACAAGGUUAAUCCGAGUGAUUUCUGCUAAAGAAAUCUUUUGCCAGUCAUAAAACCACUGGUGAAUAAGGGGUGGGCAAGUUCUGGUGUCAGCCGCCGCGGUAAAACCAGCACCUCAAGUGGUCAGGAUGAUUAUUGGGCCUAAAGCAUCCGUAGCCGGCUUUGUUAGUUUUCGGUUAAAUCCAUGUGCUCAACGCAUGGGCUGCCGAAAAUACUGCAUGGCUAGGGAGUGGGAGAGGUAGACGGUACUCAGUAGGAAGGGGUAAAAUCCUUUGAUCUAUUGAUGACCACCAGUGGCGAAGGCGGUCUACCAGAACACGUUCGACGGUGAGGGAUGAAAGCUGGGGGAGCAAACCGGAUUAGAUACCCGGGUAGUCCCAGCUGUAAACGAUGCAGACUCGAUGAUGCAUUGGCAUAAUAGCCAGUGCAGUGUCGCAGGGAAGCCGUUAAGUCUGCCGCCUGGGAAGUACGUACGCAAGUAUGAAACUUAAAGGAAUUGGCGGGGGAGCACCACAAGGGGUGAAGCCUGCGGUUCA
rnacentral:rRNA from 1 species